GCCUCCUCAGUCAAGGCCCCUACGGAUCCCUACAGUACUCUUAAUUCAGAAAGGCGGUCAAGGGCCUUGGUUCUUUUCUUAUCCUUAAUGCUUCCUGUGAUUGCAGCUAUAGUUGUCUACCACCUUGACUCGUUCGACGCGGCUCCUAUGCCCCUCCACGAGUUGAGUCAGCCCCCCGAGCCGGCCUUGCUGCGUAACGAUCGCAUGCUACUAGGGGCAGAGUUAUUGGGCGUGGGGAAGUUUCAGGGGCCGGAAGAUAUUGUGUAUGAUUCAAGGUCAGAGGUCAUCUACACGGGCUCUGGAGAUGGAUGGAUCAAGCGAGUCUGGUUGAAUGAGUCCGCCAGUGACACGGUGGUUGAGAACUGGGUCAGGACCGGGGGUAGACCGCUCGGCCUCGCUCUAGGACUCAACACUGAAGUCAUCGUUGCCGACGCUUAUAAGGUGGGCCUGUUUUACUAAUAUACAUUGUUAAUUACUUAACCACACACCCCCCCCCCCCUUAAAAAAAAAAAGAAAUUAAAAUAUUGUUCAUAGACUGCGGGCACUGUGAUUAACUGUGUAUAGAGUAAUAUUUUGGUAAACUCUGUCAAUAUUAUUAGGUAAUUGUAUGGACCUAAAAAAAUAAAAUAAUAAAGCGAUUGAUUUUUUAAAAGUUUUAAUUUAUUUUUAAUCCUCAUAUUUUUAUUUACUUAAUUUAUAUGAAAAAAAAUUUUGUGCAUACAUUUUUUUGAAACUCACAAUCUUCAAAAAUCUGUCUCCCUUGUAUAGCUCACAAAUGACCAAAAAAAGUGAUUAAUCUUGGUUAUAUGUAUUCUUGGAAUUGAUUAUUAUUGUAACAUGUGAGAUGGUUGAGUCGCACUAGUAUUUAAUAUUUUUUUUAUUUGUAUUAGUAAUCUUGUAUUAGUUUAAUCAGCUACAAGAAUCAAUGCAGGCAUGGUUAUCAUUUUCAUUUUUACAUUAACGUCCAUCUCAAUUACUAUCACAUAUAUAAAUAAUACUAGUAGUAAUAAAUUCCAUAACUGAUAAUAUAUUGUUUGAUUAAAAAAUCUGCAAGGUCAGAUAAUAGAGUAUACUAGCUAUGGUAAUAGUACUAAUCUAAAUAAUAUUUUAGAUAUGUACUCUUGCCUAGAAAAUAAUGUUCGUUAAUUUAUUGGAGUUGUCAAUGAUCACAUUUUGGGGUAAUAUGUAUGAUUAUGUGUUAUGAACAUAGGGGCUAUUAAAUAUAAGUAGAGAUGGUGCUAUAGAGCUGCUAGCUGAUGGAGCCGAAGAUUUGAAAUUCAAGUUAACGGAUGAUGUUGAUGUAGCAGAGGAUGGCAUGAUCUAUUUCACAGAUGCUUCCCAUAAGUAUAGCUUAAACGAAGUAAGACAGGACUUGUUUGAGGGCAGGCCUUAUGGUCGACUUAUAAGCUUUGAUCCCGUCUCCAAACGAACCGAAGUGCUGUUAAGUGAUCUCUACUUUGCUAAUGGAAUUGCAGUGUCACCUGAUCAAGAUUAUCUAGUAUUUUGUGAAACCACCAUGUAUGUCUUUAAUUGGUUGCUUACACCCUAUGUUUAAUUAAUUGGAAACUAAAUGCUUAUCUCCUAUUUUUAUCAGUUUAACCUAAUUAAUUCAGUGCAUGCUUUAUUUUUUGGCUAAUAAUAAAGAGUUGUAUAUAUUUUCGCAGGAGGAGGUGCAGAAAGUAUUACAUCAAGGGCAUAAAAAAAGGAAAUGUGGAAAAAUUUAUGGAUAACUUACCAGGGAUGCCUGAUAAUAUUAGAUAUGAUGGAGAAGGCCAUUACUGGAUUGCAUUGGGCACGGUAACACUGCCAACUUUAUACUCUCCUAUUAUUGAACAACAAAUACUAAUAAUGGAUGCUCUAGCCUAUAAUGAACGAAGCAUUAAUUAUUCAUCUCUUUUCAAUAUCACUGUAUCUUUUUUAAGCAAUGGUACUUGAUGAUGAAAUAAUGUUUAAAUUAUAACUAACCUAAAUUAUGGUUUAGAAUGUAAUAAAUAAUUGUAGCCUGAUGAUUAGUGGCAGCUGGUAGUUGAUAUAUAUGUAGUUAAUUAAUUGUGGUGCAUUUGGUGGCAGGAAAAUACACUGUUCUGGGAUUUAGCAUUCAAAUAUCCACUGGUUCGAAAGACAGCGGCAAUUAUUGAAAGGUUGACUGGGCGGCGAGUGAGCACGGAGAAAAAUGGUGGAGUGUUGGCCGUGGACAUGGAUGGAAAACCAGUUGCACAAUAUCAGGACGUUGAAUUAAAUUUGGUUUCAACUGGAAUCAAGAUAAAGAACUAUCUAUACUGCGGUUCCGUGUUUUACCCCUAUAUUAUCCGCCUCAAUCUGGAUCAACAUGCAGCGCAAGCGAGGUCUUGACAAUCCACUAUUGAGCUAUUCUAGAGGAUGGGGUACCGCUUUCUUUUCUUCCUAAAGAUCGAGUCACGUCUCAAUGGUUGGUAGAGUAUUAAUAUAUGGGGCUUUGUAUUUCCAUUUCUCCAGCUACAGGUGUCAUCCCAACAUGUAUAAAGUUGUUCUAGUGAUAUAUCAACAAUUAAGACGGCCACCCAAAUAUAUAUUAUCUGGCCACAUGUACACUCAUGCCUGAAUAAAAGUAGGAGUAAUAUUGACGAAUGAUUUGAAAUUGAUGAUUACGCGUGGUUUAUUAUUUUUCUUUCAAGUAGUAUAAUUAACAAGGGGUCGGCCGGCCAUCAAUUUUUUGAUCGGCAACUCAUCAUGGUCAUUGGACAGAUGAAGAAAAUACCCUAAUCAAGUAAAAACAUUUGUUAACAUAACUCAGGAAAAUAUUCUUUAACAAAAAAAUCUCCCUAUCACAAUCUUAAUUAGGGUUAGGGGUUGUGUAACUUUGAGUGUAGCCUGUUUCUUUCUUUUCUUCUAGUUUAUUGACUAAAGCAUCAUUCAAAUCGAUCAAAAAAUGAAAAUAUGCCAGAACUGCUACUCACCAACAUUUCAUUGUUUCCAAUUGCCAUGACUAAUUGAAUAUAUUUGGAUACUAUUAGCUAUAGUAAAUAAAACGUUUUGUUCAAUUGUUGAAUUGAUUAGAUGGCAACACAAGACUUGAUUAAAUAACUAUGAAAAGCUAGGAUAACGAUAUUUCAAACCAAUAAUUAUGUGAUUUAUUAAUAAAAUAUUAAAAUAUUAAUUUGUUUUUGUUAAAAUUUAAUCCUUUCAUGUAAAUUAAAAAUUGACAAACAUACAACUUGGGUACCAAAUUAAAUUAAUAGCAUCUAAUGGAUAGCAUUAAAUAUAGGACAUCGAGGCUCAGUAUGGCCCUUGGGAAUGUAAUUGGUUUCAAUAUUAAACAUAAUAUUUAUGUUUGAAGUAUAUGUAAUACUCCAAUUUCAUAUCAAGAAAUUUUGAAGAUUUAUUAUGAUAUUUAAGUUAAGGUUUAAGCUUAAAUUUGUGAGAUAUUUUUUGUAAGAUAAAAUCGUAAGAACUUUUAAUCAAAACAGAUAAUACUUCUCAAGUUAGUUAUAGGUCUCCACAAAUGAUAUUAAAGCAAUCACUAAUCGAACAGGAGCUAAGUGCUACAUGGUGAGAGUCACCUCUAAAAUCGUAACAUUUUGUGUGAUUAUGUGAUCUGUGUGUACUUUACGUUGGGCAUGCUCAACGUUUGAUAUAAUUCAGUGGAUUCGAGUACUUUGUAUUAAACUUGACAAGGACGUCAAGCUUUAAUGAAGAAAGUUUGUAACACCCUAAUCCCAUAUCGGGAGACUUUUGGAAUCUGUUAUGAUAUUUAAGUUGAAAUUUAAACCCAAAUUUGUGAGAUGCAUUUUAUAGAACAAAAUCAUAAGACCUUCGGGUCAAAGUGAACAAUAUCUCAUAUAUUAAAUUCGGAUCUCUACAAAUGGUAUCAGGCCAUGUUCAUGAUUCUAGAGAUUUUGGAUUACUUUGUUCGAUUGAUACGAAGAUAUUUGUUUUGAAAAUUUGUUUUAAGGAAAAAAUUUAGAUUUGUUUGAUAAGGAGUGUUGAUGGUUGUAAAUGAAAUGAUUUUAAUUUGAAUUUUGGUGAAAAUGAUAUCCUAAGCUCAACGAUUGUUGUGAAGAACAGUUUUGAUCUUUUAAAAUUUUGUAAGUUUAAGAUAAAUUAGAUUUUCAAUCCAUAGAGAUUUUGUUGUUUUAUGAUUUUUGUUAAUCAUAGAUUUCCUAAUACGAUUGAUUUUUAAACAUCAGCUUUGGAAUUUGUAAUGAAGAGAAAGUUCGGUGAAUUUGAUUAUGAGUAAUGAUAAGUUGUAAGUAAUUUUUGUGUGAAUUUGAUAAAAUAGUUACCUUAAGCUUAAGUUGAUAGUGAAUAACGAUUUUUUUUUCUCUUUAGAUAUUAUUAGAGAUUUUGAUUUAGUUUGAUAUACGUUGCCAUGCAUGCUUAUGAGAUUCGUCUCAUGAGUAUGCAGCAUUAUUACGAUCUAAAUCUUUGGGUUUGGAGCGGGAUAAAUUAGUGGUAUCAAAACGAUCACCAGCGGAUAUGAGCUAAGUGCUACACUGUGAGAUCUACCUCUAGAAUCCUAUGGGAGCUAAGUGCAACACAGUGAGAGCCACCUCUAAAAUCUCAACAUCUGGUGUGAUCCUAUAAUCUAUGUGUGCUUAGUGUUAGGCUUAAAGAAGACAUUAAACUUUAAUGAGAAGCGUUUGUAACACUCCAAUCCCACAUCGAGAGAUUUUGAGAAUUUGCUAUAAUAUUUAAGUUGAGGUUUAAAACUAAACUUUUGAGGUGUCUUCUGUGGGAUAAAACUAUAAGACCUUUGGAUCAAAAUGGAUAAUACCUCACAGCUAAAGUGUUAUACUUCACAGUAUAUUAGCAAAACAUUUGCAUUGUCACGAGUUAAUUUUUUUUUUAUUUUGUUAUAUAUAUUUAAUUGAUUUUUUAUUAUAAAAUUUAUUUAAUUUAAAAUUAAAAAUGAUGAAAGGUAACAAAAAAUGAGAAUUAAAUUAAAACAAAUUUUAAUAUAAUUUUUUUUGAAAAAAAUUUAAAAAAAAAAGAUGAAGUAGGAAAAAGUUUAAAAAGAAAAAAAGAACAAUUUUGAUAGAAGAGAGUUUCACACAAGAAAUUUUUUAAAAAAUAUAUUUUUAAAUUAUUGAAUAUAAUAAAAAAAGAAAAAAAAUCAAGGGCUUGGUAUGUUAUCAUAUCACAGUACCUUUUUCUUUCUAACAUGUUAUGGCAGUUCCAAUAUUUUCUAGUGUGAGACUAUGGGUGGCUAAUGAUCUAUUAAUUGUUUAACUUUCGUUUCGUUUGAAACUUGUGUAUUUACCUUCAUUUUUUUUCCAAGUUGAGAUAGAGCUUGUAUAUUUACCUAAAUCUAAAAUUUAACCUGGAAAAAUAUUGUUGACAGGUGGAAAGACGUUAUCAUGAUUUUGCUAUUGAUUGCCUUGGCAAUUUCUGUAAUAUAUUACUUUUUCUUCUAUUUUUUCUUAGAUAACUUUGGUUAUUUUUACUUGUUUUCAGCAUCGAAUUUCAGAUUUUAAUGAUUAGUUUCAUGUUGUCCACAAUGAGCAUUGUUCUAAUAUAGGAACCUUUAUUUUUCAUAUAGCUAUCUUGUUCUAACAAAUUAAAGUACUACUUAUGAACUUGUUAGAUGUAGGCAUAUCCCAUAUCUAAGGUUAGUGGGUGCUUUUCUUCUUUUCAUACUAUUUUGCAUCAUGCAAAUUAUGCAUUUAAUUCAUCCUAAAGGUACAGUAUCAUGUCAUUAUGUAUAUCAAUGGAAUUGUUAACUUUAGAUCAAAAGACUAUCUUGAUUUGAUUUUAAUAUGUUACAUUUCAUUAGUUACUUGUUGGUAUGAAGAGAAAGUAAAGCAUUGAUGAGAGAAAAUCAAGAAGGUAAAUCUAUAGUAUGAAGCAAUAGUCAUGUGAUACUGAAUUUUUAAUCUUGACAAGUAAAGUUCAAAUUUUGUUAAUCUCAACUAUUAAAAAAAAAUUCAUGGUAUGAAUCUCAACUCAGGACUUUGUCUUCAGCACAGAUUAACUAUUUUUAUAAAUGAUUAACCAUGUGUUGACAUCUUACAUAGUUGCCAUUUUUUAUAUAUAGAGGGAUUCUUGAGCGAGUUUAUCCUUUUAGUAAAGGAGUUUGUAGCAAUUUAUAUGACUUAUGUUGUGUUUGAAGCCGCAUAUAUAGUUUGGAAUCUUUGCCUUUAGUCCAAUAACUUGAAAAAAAGUUAAGGCCUUAUACUUGCUUAGAUGUUUUAACCUACCGUUGCUGCUGAUAUUGUAAGACAAUGUAUCAUUAACUAUAAUAUGAUUUUUUACACAAAAAAUUUUAAUGUGAGGUUGUGUAGAAACACUAGUGUGUAGCCAAAUUGUUGGAAUUACUAGAUAUCAUUUGCUAAAAGUCGAGAUGCUUGUUAAGAAUAGAUUUGUACUGGUGAUAAGUUGUGAUUCUUUUGUUUCGUUAUGUUGAAAAUUUUGGAAAUUUUGUUAACUAGAUUUAAAUUGUCUCCUAUAUGCAUUUGGUUUAAUAUAAUUGAAGAGAAGAUGUUAGUCAUCCCUAUGUAUCUAAAAGCAUCAAACACCAUGCAACUGCCAUUUGAAUUCGAACCAUCUCAAUGCAUUCUUUGGAAUUUUCAAAACCUAUUGUUUAGAUGUUGAAUUUAAGCUUCGAUAAUUAGGUACAUUUCUAUCACACAGCAUGUGCUCUCUUUGAGGGAAAAGUUCGUCAAAAAGUGUAAAUGCUUUAUUCUGCUUGCUGAUCUAUAUAUAAGUAUGUAUAUAUUGAUGACUUGAAAAAUGAAAAACAAUAUUAUUUCUAGGGUUGUAAAAUACAUAUAUAUAAAUAUAUAAAUGUAUAAAUGGGUUUAAAGUUCACAAGAUAUAUCCAAAAAUAAAGUCCAACCUUAUAAGUCAACUAAAUAUAAUAUACAUUUUAACAACCCCUCAAACUGAAAUGCUUUAAAAUGAAACAUUUGGAGUUUGGAAACUAAAUAACAAAAAUGUGAACUUGAAAUAAACUUUGUAAAAGGAUCCAUCACUUAUGAGUCAGAAGAAAUCUAUGGUAGCAUAAUAGUGCCUUUGCAUAUCUCCUAUUUGAUAAAAUGACAAUCUAUUUCAAUACGUUUUAUCUGUUCAUGCAAAAUAUCAUUGUGAACAAUUUGAAUUACACUCUUGCUAUCAUAAAAAAGUAAAAUAGGAGUAGGCGUGUCAACACCUAAAUCUAUAAGUAACCGAUACAACCAUAUAAUUUCUACUAUAGUGUCUGAUAAAGCUCUAUACUCUACUUCAGUACUUAAAUGCACCAUAACUUUUUAUUUUUUUCUUUUUCAAGAUAUCAAAGAAUCACUCAAAAAAAAAAAAAACACAAUAACCAUCACCAGCCCAAUUAUAAUCAGAAAAAGUACAAAGUUGAAGUUUAGAAGUUGAUAAGAAUAGCAAACCUAUAUGUAGCAUUCCUUGCAAAUAUCCCAAUAUCCUAAGAACUGCAGCAAAGUAAAUUGUCCAAAGUGCUAUCAUAAAUUGGCUGUGACACCCCAAUCUCAUAUUAAGAGAUUAUGUGGAUCUAUUAUGAUAUAUAAAUUAAGACUUAAUUUCAAACCUGUGAGGCAUCUUUUAUGAGACAAAAUCAUGAGAUCUUUGAGUCAAAGUGGAUAAUACCUCAUAGGUUGGGUAUAGGUCUCCAUAGAUGGUAUUAGAGCGAUCACCAGUCGGAUGAAAACUAAGUGUUACGCUAUGAGAGCUACCUCUAAAAUCUUGUAAAAGCUAAAUGCUACACAAUAAGAAUCAUCUCUAGAAUCUCAACGUUUGGUAUGAUCUUGUAAUCUAUAUGUGUUUUGUAUUAGGCUUGAUAGGGACGUUAAGCUUUAAUAUGGAGAGUUUAUAACACCAUAAUCCAAUAUUAAGAGAUUCUGUGAAUCUGUUAUGAUAUAUAAGUUAAGACUUAAUCUCAAAUCCGUGAGGACCUUUUGUAAGAUAAAACUGUGAGACUUUAAUCAAAGUAGAUAAUAUCUUGCAGGUAGGGUAUGGGUUUUUAUAUUUACUUACAACUUAAACUGCAUGAUUAAUAUCCGGUCUUGUAACUGUUAAAUAUAUAAGACUACGAACCAACUAUCUAUACAAAGUAGUAUCAUUGAAAAGUUCUCCAUUAAUAGCUUUCAUUUUGACAUUAGUUUCAAGAGGAGUAUCAACAGUUUUAUUAUCAAAUAAGCUACCUUUAGAAAUAAGAUCAGAAGCAUAUUUCACUUGAGACAAGACAUAUCCAUGAGAGGAAAAAUCAACUUCAAUUCCUAGAAAAUAUUGUAAUGGACAAAGAUUAUUCAUUUCAAAGGUUUUUCUGAAACGAUUUUUUAUAUUCUGAAUACCAAGGUUAUCAUUUCUAAUUAUCAUCAUAUCAUCAACAUAAAGAUACAAAAAUACAAUACCUCUUUCAAAUUAAUGAAUAAAUAAUGCUAAAUCAUAAGGACUAUACAAAAAUCCAAAGUCAAGUAUAGUAAUACUGAAUUUCUCAAACCAAGCACACAGUGCUUGCUAAAAAUCAUAUAAAGCUUGUCAAAGCUUGCACACUUGAUUAGUUUGGCAAGACAAUCCAGGAAGAGGUUUCAUAUAAACUUCUUCAUGAAUAUCUCUAUUCAAGAAAGCAUUUUUUACAUUCAUUUGUGAUAGAGCCCAUCAUCAAAUAGAAGUAAUAACUACAAGAGUUCAAAUAAAAGUCAUUCGAGCUACAGGAGCAAAGGUUUCUUCAAAGUCAAUACCAUAUUCUUGUGUAAAUCCUUUUGCAACCAACCUAGCUUUAUAUCUCUCGAUAUACCCAUUUGAUUUAGUUUUUUCCUUGUACACUCAUUUACAAUCUAUUACAAAUUUUUUAAAAAAUAAAUCAAUAAGAUCCCAAGUAUGAGUUUUCUCUAAGGCAUCUAAUUCUUCUUUCAUAGCUACUUGCCAAAAAGGAUUAGAACUUACUUCACGAUAAGAUUUAGGUUCAUAAACAGAAAGAACAAUAUAUAAGAAACAAUGAAAAUAAUGAUAAUGUUUUGAAAGAAUUCGCUCACAUGUUGAACAUCUAAGUUCUGGGAUAGACAGCUCUGACGAAUUGAACAAUGGUGGUGCAUGAUUGCUUAUGGUAGAGUCAAUGAUGGGACAAGCUUCAUUUAGAUGAAUCUAUUGAGGAGUUGAAGAACUUUGGGACACAUGAAAAGAUUAAUUAAAGUCAAUUAAAUUAACAAAAUGAUAAAAAAAGAUAAAAAAAAAAAAAAAACUCAUAAGAAUCAUUGGUAGAUUUUUUAAAACAAAGCAAUGAACACAUCAAAAUAUUUUUCAAAAAAGUAACAUGCCGAGAAACACGAAGUUUUUGCACAAUAUGGUCAUAGUAAUGAUAUCUUUUUUGUCCAAUACCAUACCCUAAAAACACAUAAAUGGUAAUUUUUUGAGGUAAUUUAUUACACUGAACUUUAGGAAGUGAAACAAAACAUGUAGAACUAAAAAUACAAAGCUCAGAAUAAUUUAAAGUAUUGUUAUACAAGCGUUCAAAAAGAGAAAUUCCACCAAUGAUAAAAGAAGGAAUACGAUUAAUAACAAAAUUGAAAUAAGUGCAGCUUCCCCCCAAAAUUUUUUAAGAACCAAUAAGUGUAGUUUGUUCCAUCUAAUUUCACUGUAAUAGGCUGUGAUGAUUUUGAAAGAGCCAUGAAAGAAAAAUAAUUCAAAGCCAAUACAUUGAUCAACCCGUAACAAGCCAAUAAAUUGAUCAAUUCAUAACAAGUGAACCAAACAAGCCAAUUACAUGGGUAAAUAAUCCAAAACCAAUAAAGUAUUUAGUCAACUUGUAGCCAAUGAAUAAAAGUAAAAAAAGACAAAGGCAAUUUCAAUUUCACCAAACCCAAACUGAAACAAAAAGAAAUAAUAAUCAUCGAAGCUCUGAUAUAAUGAUGACUUGAAGAAUGAAAAACAAUAUUAUUUUUAGAGUUGUAAAACACACACAUAUAUAUAUAUAUAUAUAUAUAUACAAAUGUAUAAAUGAGUUUAAAGCCCACAAAAUAUAUCCAAAAAAUAAAACCCAAUUUUAUAAGUCAACUAAAUAUAAUAUACAUUCUAACAUAUAUAUCUUUUUUAGGCUUACCUUCUUGAGGUUUAAAUAAGCUCCGUUUAAAACCAGAUUCAGUCACAACACGAAUCCCAGCCGCAACGCCCAUAUCCAAGGUCCCGAGGCCCCAGUUGAGCCACCACAUUCCACCAUACUUUCGUGGGUUCUUAAUCUUUUCCCGCAUAAAACAUGGAUAUACGAAUGUGCCAGACCAAAUACAUUUCCAGAGAAUGGACCGACGACUGCCACGAAGGAAGAGACAAUUCCGAAUAUAGUCUGGAAUAUACCCCGUUGAUGACAUGGCAGUUGGUGAGAGUAAUUAUAUUAAUGAUCAAUAUCAAAGAAAAGAACAUAAGAUGGAGAACUUCGUAGAGAAGAAAAGCGAGGGUGUUUCUUUGGAACUGAGCGGUGUUUCAUUAGAAUUGUCUCUUUUCAGGGGAUUAUAUUUGGGAAGCCAAAGAAAAGAGUCCUGCAACUGAAAAAGGGCAGAAGAGUUUCGAAGCCAGUGAAUUUAGCAAUCAAUAUCAAAGGGAAGAAUAUAAUCUGAACAACCUCCUGAAGCCGAAGGUUGGAGGUCCUUCUUUGCAACUGAACAUGGGUUUCGAUGACGCUUGCUGUUCCAAGAAGAGAGAAAGAACGGAGAAUCCUAGCAGUUUAAGAAAAGUUUCGUCCUGCAGAAACAAGAGAUCUAAAAUUGAGAGAGAAGAAAGUUGUAAGGCCGUUGUGACUGAAUUGAGGCCUGGCCAUGAUACUUGGUGCAUUAAAAAGCAGCUUUUUGAAAGUGACCUCGGCAACAUGUCUAGGCUCUUGUUGGCAUCGAAGGUCGUAGAAUCUCAUAUUUUUCCCUUCUGGAAUGCUGAUCAACUUACGAAAGCUAAGGAAGGGUUGCCAGUUUCUGUGUGGGAUUGUGAUACAAAGACUGAACAUGAGAUGAUUUUCAGGCAAUGGAACAAUGGGGCCAAUGUGCUCAUCAAGAAUUGGAUCAAGGACUUUGUGAAGAGGAGGGAACUGAAGCUUGGUGACGAAAUUGGCCUUUACUGGGACGGUUGCAGUUCAAGAUUCAAAUUUUCUGUUCUUAACCAACCUGCAAGGCAUUAACUUCUUCAAGUUUUUUUUUUUUUUUUGGCAAUGGUGAUACAGUUUAUUGAUUUAAUAUAAUCAACUCUGAGUUGAGUGUAGUUGAAACUUAGAAAGUUUGGCAAUGGACAUCCUCAUUUAUCUGUUAAACUUCAAUCGUUUUGGUUAUUUGUGCUUAUUUUCUAUUAGCUGGUGAUCAUUAUGUCUAUCUUGUUUUCCAAGCAAUAUUAGCAAUAAUAAUUACUAGUAAAAAGUUUAUAUUUGAUGGGUUAAAAGAAUACUCAGAUUUUCCCCUUUGCAUUCCCAAAACUCCAUUGCAAAAAUUGUUCACGGCAAAGCAAGUUAACUCAUUGUUAAUCAAAUUAUGUACUGAAUACUGAUUACAUAAUAUAGAGUAUGCAAAUUAAUGAUAUAGUUAAAGUAUGCAAUUGAAACCAUCAAGCUUGUGCCUACAGGGAAAGAUAUAAAAGACCUCCGAUUUAUGUCCUAAUUUUAUGAUUCUAGAAGCAAUGACAUAAUAGAACACUGACAAUCUUGUUGGAAAGAGCCAGUAAGAUGUACUUAGUAAAACAAUUAUUAUUUCUGUUUUUAGAUGAGUUUUUCUAAACUGGUGGUAAGAUCGUCUGCUUAAUAUAAACCAAGUGAGGCCUGAAAUCAUUGACAUUGACUAUAACGAGAAACUAUAGCUCGUGCAUCACAAGGAAUUGAAAGAAGCAAGGUAUAUUUGGUAUUUACAUUUUUGUUAUUUUCUUUCAGAAUGCAACUCAAUGUGCUGCACCAGCAAUUUCACAAGUAAAAAACUGCACCCUAAAUACUAUUAAUAUAGCUAUUUGGGAUGCUAAUUUUGAAUCAUAGGUAGAGCACAAAUAACAAAUUAAAAGAAUAAAGUGCCAUUACAAUUCAACACGGUUCUUGUACAAUUCUUUUAAAAAAUCUGGUUCUUGAACAUGGAUCAAUCCUUUAAAAUGCAGAUGCCAUGCAUGAACAAUGAGGUGUACAAUAGUGUCUUCAAGGCGUGAGGAUAUUAAGUAAGGACACUCUAUUUCGGAUUAGGCAUCUAAACAGGCAAUCUAAGCCUGCCUCGAGACCUUUGACGCUAGCAGACAGUGUCUCUAAUCUCCUUAGUUCAGUCUGUGCAUCAAUCUUAGCAUCAUUUUUCGGGACUUGUCCAUGGAGUGUAUACAAGGUAAAGUCCACAAUCCCCGCCGCAUUGAAAGGCUUCUCCCUUCUCUUGGCUGCAGCUACUGGUAUCAAUUUGAAAUCAAAGACCAACGUUUUCAUUACUGGCAUUGAAAGAAAUAGCAUCAGUGAAACAUGAAAAUUGUGAUGGCUUUGGAUUCUCUCAGUGCUUUUACCACCAUCGAUAGAUGGCAAUCUACAUCAAAGAGAGGAAAGGCGCCAUUAUUGCUGCAUUCCAAUCUCUUCAGUGCUCUUAAGGCUUUUAGUAAAUUUUUUUUCAAUUUCUUUCUAAAGCUGAUGUCAGCAAGGAUAUUGCUUCCAAUGCUUGAAUCUGCGCCCCUACAACGUAAAGCUGACUGAUGGUCUUGUACUUGCUCCUCCAUCAUCGUAAUUAGGUCUCUUGCGGUACCACAUGCAUCCAGCAAUCCAACCGAGUCAUCAAGUGCCUCCUCUACUAGUUUUACAUUAUUUUGCUGAUGGCGAAGGAAUUCUUGAGUGAGCGGAGACUGAAGGAUUUCCUCAAUGUUGUUAUACAACUUUGCAAGCCUAGUGAAACCUGUACAAAUUGUCUCACCACCAGCGUGAAUUGUUCGUGAAGCUGUACAAAUUACGCCGCAACCUGGAUGGCAAGCUAAUGGAUCUGACUGGAACGUUCACCCCAUGAAUUACAGACGAGCCUGCCAUAUUUACGCAGAAAAAGCGCUCAAAAGACUAAAUUCGAAAGUCGAUAUAUGCUCAGCCAUUCAUAAUUCUUCUAUCUCUUUAUAAUAAGAAAGAAAAUUCAGGCCAAAGCCCAAUCAUUGGCGAUACGAUGGUGAUGGAAUUGAAAGAUCCUUGUAGCAUAUUUAGCCAGCUACCUGCAAUCGUUUAUCAUUCUUUAAUGUUAGGUUCAAGAGAUGAACAAUAUGAAUAGGUAAGAUUAAUUUUGUUUAUGAUCCUCUAAUUGUAAACAACCGGUACAUGCCGUGCAUCUGCUGCCCUGUCUCCCCAAUCAUUAGUGCGAUGCCUUGUUCCCUACCAGUGUUUAUUAAAGUCAUUAAUUAAAAUUAGUUUAUAAGACAUUCAAGGCUGGCAAUUCAUGAUUGCCUAAAAUUUAGAACCAAAGAUAUAAGGUCAAUCGACCAACGGUAGCGGAAAAAAUAUUAGAACAAGAAGAAGUACGAAGUGGGAUCUGAUUUUGCACAAAGCUAGACCCCAAGGCAAAGAAUCUAAAGCGGCCGUUUAUAUAUAGACUUGGAAGACAAUGUAAACCUAAACAGAAACAAAUAGAGUAAGAAGUUUUUGGUUGAGAGAGGGGCGAAGGGCCAGUAGAUUCUAAUACUCUAAUGCAGAAAAUCACAUGCAUCACAUGCUCCAUUACAUAGCCAAGGAAGUUCAGAGUCUACUUGUCUUCCAUGAUUUUCUGUAUCCUAGACAUAAAUUAAAGGGACAUUGAGAAGGACAGCAUAUCUUCACUUAUAAGCUUUCACUUUGAUACCAUUCUCGACUGCUUGUAAAUCUUGAAACCAAAAGUCUUGUACGUGAAUGUUCCUUUAGUGGCGUCAACGUUUCUCUGAGAUGUCACAUGGCGUUCUACCAUAAUCAGCCCAGCAGAUAGAGCCUAGAUGUUACAGAAAAAUCGAGUGGUAGUGACAAUAAUUUCAUCAUCCUCGGGAAGGGAUGGUGGAUGUAAACAAACCGUAACCGUCCCACUGCCUACCAGAGAAUAUAAUUGUUCUUUAUGAAAUAAGUGCUGUAUACGAUAAUUUUGGGAGGUUGGCAUGACUCGUAAGUUCAGUCGAAAGUCCAAACUAUGGGUCGGAGGAAUAUAGACCCAAUUAGGACUGGGCUGGCUAAAGCACCAAAGCUUUGGCCCAACUUGAACAAAUUUUAUGACUACAAAUCUUAGAUUUAACUAUUUUUACAUUACAUAUAUAUAUAUAUAUAUAUAUUUAUCUAUAGAUAAGCAAUUUUUAUAUUAACUUCUAAUAAAGCAAAAUUUAAAUUUUAAACAGAAUUUGAGAUUUAAUGCAAAAAAUUCACCAACUUUUUUAUUAAAAAAAAGUGAAUUUUUACAAGCUUCCUUUAUACUAAAAAAUAAAAAUAUUACAGUUAAAUUUGCAUGCGAUGUGGCAAAUAAAUUUGACAGGGGUAGUCUCUAUAUAAUGUAAACUCAAAUACUUUGACUCUACAUAUUUAACGGUAGUGAGGGAUCAUCUGCGUGCAAUUUACAAUUAAUUAAUUCCCCCCAUUCUCAUGCAAUUAUUUCAAACUUCAACCCUCAUCUUUCUUCCCAUAUGUCUACAGUAAAAGAAAGGUGUGUGGGUGUUUGCAGUGGAAAAUGACCGUGCACAGCUUAUAUUGACAAAAACGUCGUCAUCUCCAUCUCUCAUUUUUAGAUUUUUCCAUCUAUGAUUGGGACAGACAAAGUCUCAAAUAUAUCUUUCCAAAACAAGAAAAAAACAAACUCGUUACCUUUGAUGGCAAGCUAAUGGAUCUCAAUGGAACGUUCACCCCAUGAAUUACAGAUGAGCCUGCCAUAUUUAUGCAGAAAAAAUGCUCAAAAGACUAAAUUCGAAAGUCGAUAUAUGCUCAGACAUUCAUAAUUCUUCUUUCUAUUUAUAAUAAGAAAGAAAAUUCAGGCCAAAGCCUAAUCAUUGGCCAUACGAUGGUGAUGGAAUUAAAAGAUCCUCGUAACAUAUUUAGCCAGCUACCUGCAAUCGUUUAUCAUUCUUUAAUGUUAGGUUCAAGAGAUGAACAAUAUGAAUAGGUAAGAUUAAUUUUGUUUAUGAUCAUCAAAUUGUAAACAACUGGUACAUGCCCGGCGUCUGCUGCACUGUCUUCCCAAUCAUUAUUACGAUACCUUCUUCCCUACCAGUGUUUAUUAAAGUCAUUAAUUAAAAUUAGUUUAUAAAACAUUCAAGGUUGGCUAUUCAUGAUUGCCUAAUAGUUUAAAUCCACAGAUAUAAGGUCGAUAGACCAACGGUAGCGAAAAAAUAUUAUAAUAAGAAGAAGUACGAAGUGGGACCUAAUUUUGCACAAAACUGUUAGUAAAAUAUGGUCCAGCCCUAUAUAAUUGGGUUCGUAUUAAUCAAAAAUCAUAGGUAUUAAUUUUUUUUUAUAUAGAGUCUUAACUACUUAAUAAAAAGAAAUAAAACUAUUUUAAGAUGAAAAAAAAAAAAAAGUGGUGACGAAAUCCAAGAAAAAGGAAAAAAAAAAAGAAGCCAAAAAAAAUAGAGAAAAAGAAAAAAGAAGAGUUGGUUAAACGAAAAUUGAUUUGUGAUCUGAUUAAGCUGAAACUAUAUCGGCAAGUUUAUGAUUCAGAGUUUAACAUUUUAAAUAGUAAAGAUUGGAUUUAAAGCUCUCUAGAAACAAAUCUAUGGUGUAUUGUUGAGUCACCUAUUUGGUGAGAUUUCUUCAAUUAUUUUUCUAGUUAUUAAUUAGCUCUAGUUUUAGCUAUAAAAGAACUUUAUAUAUCUAUUAUUUGAUAGUGAAGAUUUUUUUUUUGUGGUCCAUGAUUUUUUCCUCUAUAUUGAAGGAUUUUUCAUCUAAAUCUUGGUCUGCUUUAUUUAUCAUGCAUUAUUAAUUGUUGUCUAUUACUAUAGGUUUAUUGUGAUAUAUUACUUUUGCGUUGUUGUGUUUAUUACUUUAGGCUCAACAAGUAGUAUCGGAGCGAGGGUUAUUUUGAGACAUAGAUACAAAAGUAGCCCAAGAUAAAAGUACAUUUUAUUUGACAUUAUAGAGAGUAAUACAGGUUCCAUGAUAAAAUUGACAGUAUCAAAUUAUUCAAUUUGAAAGCUUAUGAUGGAAAAUCCUUUAUAUUGCAAAGAUUUGUAUGAACCGAUAUUGAGUGAUUUGGUUAAACCAGUAGAUAUGAAAGAUGAAAGCUGAAAAAGUUAGGCAUAAAGGUGUUGGCUACAAUUAAAAAAUGGGUUGAUAUCAACGUGUUUCAUUAUGUAGCAUAAAAGACAGAUGCUCACACUAUUUGAAAAAAGUUAACAGCAUUGUGUGAGAGAAAAAUAGGUAUAUAAAGUUAUGCUUGUUAAAAAGCUAGCAACUUUACAAUAUAUGGAUGGAUGAUCGAUUACAGAGCACUUGAGUGAUUUUUAAGAUAUAUUUGAUCGAAUAACUAUUAUGAAGCUUAAUAUGGAUGAUGAAAUGAAGGUAUUUUUUCUUUUGGGUUCAUUACCAGACAGUUGGAAUACACUAGUUGUGACUGUUCUUAAUUCAGCUUCUGAUUACAAAGUGACAUUGAAGAUGGUAAAUGAUAGUAUGCUUAACGAAGAAACAAGAUGAAAAGAUUCAGACCCUGAAAAUCAAGCUUUGAUCAUAGAAAACAAGAGUAAAAAUAUUAAUAGAGGUCAAAAUUCAAAAGGUCGUAAUAAGUUUAAACAUAGAUCUAAAUUCAGUGAUAAAAUAAAGUGUUUCCACUAUUGUAAAGCAAGUCACAUAAACUAAUACUGUAAAAUCUUGAAGCAAAAGUAAAAAAAAAAAAAGUAAGAGUUCAAAUGAUGACAAUGUUACAGUAGUGAAUUCAUAUAAUAAUUUAGUUACUUUGAUUUGUACACAUGGUGAUUGUAAUCAUAUUGGUGAUCUGAACAUUGAGUGGAUAAUUGACACAGGAGCAGCAUAUCAUUGUGUUCUUCAGAUAAAGUUAUUUACAACUUACAAAGCAAGAAACUUUGGUUGUACCAACAUGGAAAAUAAAAAUGUGUGUCACAUAUUGUUAGGAAUAGUGAUAUUAUUGUACAAACUAGUACGAGUUGCAUGUUGACUUUGAGAGAUGUUAGAUAUAUUUUAAAUAUGAGAAUAAACUUGCUUGCUAUUAAUAUCAUUGAUAAAGAAUGAUAUGAGAGUUGACAAAAGAAUAGACAGUGAAAGUUUCUUAAAAGAUCUAUAGUAGUUACAAGGAGAAAAUUAAGUUGCACAAUGUACAAGACAUGGAUGUAAUUAACUAGCGAUCAGAUAAAUGCUGUUGAGGAUGAUGCUUUAACAAACUUGUGGCAAAAAAAGCUAGCACAUAUAAGCAAAAAAAUGGUUAUAGUUUCGACAAAGUAGUCUUUCAUUCUUUUGACCAAAGGUAUGUCUCUCGAUUCAUGUGAUCAUUAUUUAUUUGGUAAGCAUUGUAGAGUUUCUUUUUAUAAAAAUUAUUAGAGAAAAGAAAAUACAUUGAAAUUAAUUUAUUCUAACAUAUAUGAUCCUAUUGAGGUUGACUCAUUAGACGGUAGCAAGUAUUUUAUUACUUUUAUUGAUGAUACUUUACAUAAAACUUAGAUGUAUAUGUUGAAAAACAAAAGUCAGGUAUUGCAUUAUUUUUAAAAAUUUUAUGUCAUUGUGGAAAAGAUGAUAGAGCUGCCUUUGAAGUGUAUUUUGAUUGAUAAUAGUGGGGAAUACAUAACUAAAGACUUUCAAUAGUAUUGUUCAAAGCAUAUGAUCAGACAUGAGAUGAUAGAACUUGAAACACCAUAGCAUAACAGUGUAGCUGAAAAGAUAAACUGCACAAUUAUGGAAAAAAUCAUGUGCAUGUUAAAGAUAACAAAAUUAUCAAAGCCAUUUUAGGGUGAAGUAGUUAACACAAUUGUUAUUUGCUUAAUAGAUAACCAUCAAUUUCUUUAGGCUUUGACAUUUCGAAAAAAGUAUGGAUAGAAAAAGAUGUUUUAUACUCUCAUUUUAAAGUUUUUGGGUGUAAAGUAUUCAUGCAUGUGUCAAAAAAAUAAAGGUCAAAACUUGACUGUAAAGUCACACAGUGUGUAUUUGUAAGAUAUGGUAAAAUUUUGGCUAUAAGAUAUAGGAUCCAGUGAAGAGAAAGACAGUCAAAAGUAAAGAUGUGGUCUACCAAGAAAAAAAUCAUAGCAGACCUUAAGAAAAAUAAAAAAACUACACGAGUUAUGUUGAGUGUGAUGUUUUAACAUCAAUAGGGGUUUCAUAAAAAAGAGUCGCAGAUGGUGAAAAUGAGUAAAAACUGAAAUUUAAAGAUUUGAAUGAGCUAGCCACAGUUAGUGAUGAGCCAAAUGUAAUCAAUUUUGUGUAGGUGAGUAACCCUUUCUACCAGAGAGUGUUAAGCAAAAGGAGCUACUUUUGACAUCAAGUGAUGUAAAGUCUUAAUCUAGGAGAUCUACUAGAUAACACAUGCCAUCUAUCAGGUAUUCAAGUUCAGAUUUUAUUUUAGUUACUAGUAAGAGGAAGCCAGAGACCUUUCAAAAAGUGUAGAUUACUCUAAAUAGAAAGCAUUGGUUAAAAGUAAUGAAAGAAAAGAUGGAAUCAUUACAAAAAAAAUGAUACAUGUGAUCUUGUUAAACUUUGAAAAGGGAGAAGGCAGUUGAAAAAUAAAUGGGUGUUUAAGUUGAAAAUGGAUGGUGACAAGUUAGUGAGAUACAAAGCUCAAUUGAUGGUAAAAUAUUUUUCUCAGAAAUUAGGAAUCAAUUUUGAUAAAAUCUUCUCUCCAGUUGUGAAGAUGAGUUUCAUUCGAGUGGUAUUGGGAUUAGUAGCUAGUUUGAAUCUUAAGCUUAAGCAACUUGAAGUCAAGACUGUAUUCUUGCAUGGUGACUUGCAGGAAGAUAUUUAUAUGAAUCAACCUGAGGUUUUAAAGUGAAAAGGAAAGAGCACUUAGUUGCAAACUGAAGAAAAGAUUGUAUGGCUUGAAAUAAGCUCUGCGAUAAUGGUACAAAAAGUUUGAUUCUUUUGUGGUGAGCCAUAGCUAUAAAAGAAUAACAGCGAAUCCUUGUGUGUAUGUUAAAAAAUUUUCUGAUGGUAACUUCAUUAUUCUCUUGUUAUAUCUUAAUGAUAUAUUUAUUGUAGGAUAAGAUACUGGUAUGGUUUGCAGGUUAAAAAAAUAAUUGUCUAAGUAUUUUGACAUGCAUGAUUUAGGUCUAACAAAGCAGAUUUUUAAUAUAGACAUCAUCUGGGAUAGAAGAGCUGAAAAGCUAUGGUUGUCAUAGAAAAAAUAUAUUGAACGGGUGCUUAGUAGAUUCAACAUGCAGCAUACUAAAUUAGUUAGUAGUCUACUUGCCUACCAUUUUCAUCUGAGUAAAAAAUCUUGUCCAAUGACUAAAGAAGAGCAACUAGCUAUGUCUAGUAUUUCUUAUUCUUUUACAGUCGGUUCUUUGAUGUAUCUUAUGAUUUACACAAAGCCUGACAUUGCUCAUAUAAUUGGUGUAGUGAGCAAAUUUCUUUCUAAUUCGAGAAAGGUUUACUAGGAAAAAGUGAAAUAGAUUUUCAUAUAUUUGAGGGGCACUUCAAAAAUGUGUUUGAGUUAUGGAGUUUCACAACCAGUUUUAAAAAGAUUUACUAAUAUUGACAUAACAGGUGAUCUUGAUGGUAGAAAAUCUACUUCAGGGUAUUUGUUUACUUUUACAGGAAGAGUUAUGUCUUAGCAGUCUAAGUUACAGAAGUAUGUUACUUUGUCAACUAUAGAGGUUGAGUAUAUUACAGCAAUCGAAAUAAGUAAAGAAAUGCUUUUAAUGAAACAUUUUUUUUUUGAAUUAGAGCUGAAUCAAAAAGAGUAAGUAGUGUUCUAUGAUAACUAAAAUGCUUUAGAUUUGAGUAAAAAUAUCAUGUACUAUGCUAGAACAAGGCACAUUGAUGUUAGAUAUCACCAUUUACAUUCAAAUGAUUGAGAAAUAAUAGAUAAUAUUAAAGAAAGUUUAUACUGAUGAGAAUAUAACAGAUAUGUUGACUAAGCCACUUUUUAGGGAGAAGCUUGAGCUUUGCACUAACUUGACUAGAAUGAGUUCUUUGGCCAAGGUAAAUUCUAAAUGAAACUACUAUAGUGAUAAAUCUCAUCCUAAUAGAGCUAGAGGGAGAGAUUGUUAUAAAAAUGGGGUUCAGUCUCAUGUAAUUAGGUUUGGACUAAUCAAAUGUCAUAAGUCUUUCUUUUUACAUAGAGUCCUAACUACUUAAUAAAAAAAGAGGUAAGACUACUUUAAGGUGAAAACAAGAGAAAGUGGUGCCGAAAACUAAGAAAAGAAAAAGGAAAGAAGAAGCCAAGAAAAUAGAGAAACAAAAAAGAAGAGAGAGUUGGUUGAACAAAAAUUGAUCCGUGGUCCGAUUGAGUUGAAAUUUUGUCAGGAGAUUUAUGAUUCAGAGCUCUACAUUCUGAAAGGUCAAGAUCAAGUUUGAAGCUCUCUAAAAACAAAUCCAAUGUGUAUUUGUUAAAUCAUUUAUUUAGUGAGAUUUCACCAAUUAUCUCUUUAGUUGUUGAUUAACUCUAAUUUUAGCUAGAGAAGAACUUUACAUAUAUAUUAUUUGAUAGUAAAGAUUUUUUUUUUGUGGUUCAUGAUUUUUCUCUCUACAUUGAAGGAUUUUUUACAUAAAUUUUGGUGUAUUUUAUUUUUCUUACGUUAUUGAUUGUUAAUAGUUAUUUAUUACUGUGUAUUUAUUAUGAUAUAUUGUUUUUAUGUUAUUUUAUUUAUUGCUUCAAGCUCAACAAAAGUUAGACCCCAUGCAAAGAAUCUAAGGCGGUCGUAACGUACAAUAAAAACCCAAAGGCACUGAAUUCUGUGGGAACUUAUAGGCCACUACCAUACAUUAAAGAGAAAUGAGAGAUUGUUUAUUGAAAAAUAUAUUAAUUUUUAUAUAUAGACUAGAAGACAAUGUAAACCUAAACAGAAACAAAUAGAGUAAGAAGUUUUUGGUUGAGAUAGGGCCAAAGGGGCGGUAGAUUCUAAUAAUGUAAUGCAGAAAAUCACACGCAUCACAUUUUCCAUUACAUAGCCAAGGAAGCUCAAAGUCUCCUUGUCUUCCAUGAUUUUCUGUAUCCUAGACAUAAAUUAAAGGGACAUUGAGAAGGACAAGUUCCACCCCAAAAACAGCAUAUCUUCACUUAUAAGCUUCACUUGAUGCCAUUCUCGACUGCUUGUAAAUCUUGAAACCAAAAGUCUUGUACGUGAAUGUUUCUUUUGUGGCGUCAACGUUUCUUCGAGAUGUCACAAGGCGUUCUACCAUAAUCAGCCCAGCAGAUAGAGCCUAGAUGUUACAGAAAAAUCGAGUGGUAGUGACAAUAAUUUCAUCAUCCUCGGGAAGGGAUGGUGGAUGUAAACAAACCGUAACCGUCCCACUGCCUACCAGAGAAUAUAAUUGUUCUUUAUGAAAUAAGUGCUGUAUACGAUAAUUUUGGGAGGUUGGCAUGACUCGUAAGUUCAGUCGAAAGUCCAAACUAUGGGUCGGAGGAAUAUAGACCCAAUUAGGACUGGGCUGGCUAAAGCACCAAAGCUUUGGCCCAACUUGAACAAAUUUUAUGACCGCAAAUCUUGGAUUUAACUAUUUUUACAUUAUAUAUAUAUAGAUAAGCAAUUUUUAUAUUAACUUCCAAUAAAGCAAAAUUUAAAUUUUAAACAGAAUUUGAGAUUUAAUGCAAAAAAUUCACGAACUUUUUUAUUCAAAAAAAGGUGAAUUUUUACAAGUUUCCUUUAUACUAAAAAAAUAAAAAUAUUACAGUUAAAUUUACAUGUGAUGUGACAAAUAAAUUUGAUAAGGGUAGACUCUGUAUAAUGUAAACUCAAAUACUUUGACUCUACAUAUUUAAGCGUAGUGAGGGAUCAUCUGCGUGCAAUUUACAGUUAACUAAUUACCCCCAUUCUCAUGCAAAUAUUUCAAACUUCAACCCUCAUCUUUCUUCCCACGUGUUUACAGUAAAAGAAAGGUGUGUGGGUGUUUGCAGUGGAAAAUGACCGUGCACAGCUUAUAAUGACAAAAACCUCGUCAUCUCUAUCUCUCAUUUUUAGAUUUUUCCAUCUAUGAUUGGGACAGACAAAGUCUCAAAUAUAUCUUUCCAAAACAAGACAAAAACAAACCCGUUACCUUUGAUUAGGCUGUCUAUAGCUGUAGCGUAGGAAGGACGGAUCCUAUCUAUAUUGAGCCUCUGCUGAUAAUUCCCAUCCAAAACCUCACAGGUUAGCGUAAAAUAAAACAUUACCCACUUUAGUUUCUCAAGUUUAUUUCUUCAUGUAGGGUCCCGUGCUAGUCCCAUACGAAAGCUUUAAAACAUUAGAUUUGAAAAAUAUAACCUUUAUUUCGAGCCCAUAUAUAUUUUGCUUAACGACAAUCUCUGAUACAGUAUCCCUUAGUUUAUUUUUCAUACAAUGCCUGAUUCAAAAGACUCAGCCUCCUCAGUCAAGGCCUCUACGGAUCCCUACAGUACUCUUAAUUCAGAAAGGCGGUCAAGGGCCUUGGUUCUUUUCUUAUCCUUAAUGCUUCCUGUGAUUGCAGCUAUAGUUGUCUACCACCUUGACUCGUUCGACGCGGCUCCUAUGCCCCUCCAAGAGUUGAGUCAGCCCCCCGAGCCGGCCUUGCUGCGUAACGAUCGCAUGCUACUAGGGGCAGAGUUAUUGGGCGUGGGGAAGUUUCAGGG
rnacentral:lncRNA from 1 species